rnacentral:rRNA from 1 species
GAUGAACGCUGGCGGCGUGCCUAAUACAUGCAAGUCGAACGAUCAGGCGAGGAGCUUGCUCUUCUUGGGUGAGCUGCGAACGGGUGAGUAACGCGUAGGUAACCUGCCUGGUAGCGGGGGAUAACUUUUGGAAACGAUAGCUAAUACCGCAUAAAAUGGUUUAUCGCAUGAUUCUACAUUGAAAGGUGCACUUGCUUCACCACAAGGUGGAAUUCGGGUGUAUUUGCCUAUUGGUGAAGUAAAGGGCUUACCAAGGGAACGAACCGUACCAGACCUGAGAGGGUGAUCGGCCAACCUGGAACUGAACCACGGUCCAGACUCCUCGGGGAGGAACAGGAGGGGAACUUCCGGAAAUGGGCGAAAGCUUGACGGAGAAACGCCGCGUGAGUGAGGAAGGUUUUCGGUUCGUAAACCUCUGUGAUUAGGGAAGAAGAAAUGUGUAAGGAAAUAUGCACGCUUUGACGGUACCUAACCAGAAAGCGACGGCUAACUACGUG